rfam:Parcubacteria (Nomurabacteria) bacterium GW2011_GWA2_41_25 TT58_C0004, whole genome shotgun sequence.
GCGGGUCCUAAGGUAAGCUCGGUGACAGGGACUAAGUCGUAACAAGGCACGGGUAGCGGAAGCUGCUCGUGGAAUAAUUCAAUU